rnacentral:rRNA from 1 species
AGCGGCGGACGGGUGAGUAACGCGUGGGUAACCUGCCUCAUACACAUGGAUAACAUACCGAAAGGUAUGCUAAUACAAGAUGAUAUAAGAGAUUCGCAUGGAUUUCUUAUCAAAGCUCCGGCGGUAUGAGAUGGACCCGCGUCUGAUUAGCUAGUUGGUAAGGUAACGGCUUACCAAGGCGACGAUCAGUAGCCGACCUGAGAGGGUGAUCGGCCACAUUGGAACUGAGACACGGUCCAAACUCCUACGGGAGGCAGCAGUGGGGAAUAUUGCACAAUGGGCGAAAGCCUGAUGCAGCAACGCCGCGUGAGCGAUGAAGGCCUUCGGGUCGUAAAGCUCUGUCCUCAAGGAAGAUAAUGACGGUACUUGAGGAGGAAGCCCCGGCUAACUACGUGCCAGCAGCCGCGGUAAUACGUAGGGGGCUAGCGUUAUCCGGAUUUACUGGGCGUAAAGGGUGCGUAGGUGGUUUCUUAAGUCAGGAGUGAAAGGCUACGGCUCAACCGUAGUAAGCUCUUGAAACUGGGAAACUUGAGUGCAGGAGAGGAAAGUGGAAUUCCUAGUGUAGCGGUGAAAUGCGUAGAUAUUAGGAGGAACACCAGUAGCGAAGGCGGCUUUCUGGACUGUAACUGACACUGAGGCACGAAAGCGGGGGGAGCAAACAGGAUUAGAUACCCUGGUAGUCCACGCCGUAAACGAUGAGUACUAGGUGU